GUGAGUCAUCGAAUCUUUGAACGCACCUUGCGCUCCUUGGUAUUCCGAGGAGCAUGCCUGUUUGAGUGUCAUGAAAUCUUCAACCCACCUCUUUCUUAGUGAAUCUGGUGGUGCUUGGUUUCUGAGCGCUGCUCUGCUUCGGCUUAGCUCGUUCGUAAUGCAUUAGCAUCCGCAACCGAACUUCGGAUUGACUUGGCGUAAUAGACUAUUCGCUGAGGAUUCUAGUUUACUAGAGCCGAGUUGGGUUAAAGGAAGCUCCUAAUCCUAAAGUCUAUUUUUUGAUUAGAUCUCAAAUCAGGUAGGACUACCCGCUGAACUUAA
rnacentral:rRNA from 1 species